GCCGGACUUCCCAAGAUGGCGGUUUGCAUCAUGAUGAUCACCAAGAAUUACCCCUUCUACAUUAGCAGCACCCCCACGGAGAACGAGCUGAAGUUCCACUACAUGGUGCACACAUCUCUGGACAUGGUGGAUGAGAAGAUCUCCGCAAUGGGGAAGGCCCUGGUCGACCAGAGGGAGCUGUACCUGGACCUGCUCUACCCCACGGACGACUACAAGGUAUACGGCUACAUCACCAACUCCAAGGUGAAGUUUGUCAUGGUGGUGGAUUCCUCCAACACAGCCCUUCGAGACAACGAAAUUCGCAGCAUGUUCAGGAAGCUACACAACUCCUACACGGACGUGGUGCAACCCCUUCUACAACCCCGGGGACUGCAUCCAGUCCAGGGCCUUUGAUAACAUGGUGACGUCCAUGAUGAUACAGGUGUGCUGAAUGAGCUGUGCUGCCGGCCAUCGCAGAGGAUCCCACGCGCGACCGUGGUAGCCGUCGGUCUGUUCUCGUCGCCUCUUCCUGAGUGGGACGCCUGGGGCUUUCAAGGCAGGCAGCUGUGCAUGUUCUCUCAACUAAAGAUCUUGUGAGA